GGCGGUAUGGCUCGGUUGGUAGAGUGCCUGGCCAGCAACUUGAGGGUUGCAGGUUCGAUCCCUGCUUCUGCCA